rnacentral:rRNA from 1 species
UUCCUACGGGAGGCAGCAGUAGGGAAUCUUCCGCAAUGGACGAAAGUCUGACGGAGCAACGCCGCGUGAGUGAUGAAGGUUUUCGGAUCGUAAAGCUCUGUUGUUAGGGAAGAACAAGUGCCGUUCAAAUAGGGCGGCGCCUUGACGGUACCUAACCAGAAAGCCACGGCUAACUACGUGCCAGCAGCCGCGGUAAUACGUAGGUGGCAAGCGUUGUCCGGAAUUAUUGGGCGUAAAGGGCUCGCAGGCGGUUUCUUAAGUCUGAUGUGAAAGCCCCCGGCUCAACCGGGGAGGGUCAUUGGAAACUGGGGAACUUGAGUGCAGAAGAGGAGAGUGGAAUUCCACGUGUAGCGGUGAAAUGCGUAGAGAUGUGGAGGAACACCAGUGGCGAAGGCGACUCUCUGGUCUGUAACUGACGCUGAGGAGCGAAAGCGUGGGGAGCGAACAGGAUUAGAUACC